rnacentral:lncRNA from 1 species
UAGAGGGUUAAUAUUUACCAUGUGUUCAUCUCUAUUUCAUAUUCUCAUGACCCCUCACCAUUACCAGUAUCCUAAUCCUCCGAGUAGUAAGUCUCCAUGAUCAUCCUUCGGGAGGUCUUUUCCUUCUAAUCUUCACGCUCAACGUUUAGAAUUAACUCAUCUGGAAAAUGUUGACAGUCCCGAUGUCCAAUUUAAUAAUU